GAUGAAGAACGUAGCGAAAUGCGAUAAGUAGUGUGAAUUGCAGAAUUCAGUGAAUCAUCGAAUCUUUGAACGCACAUUGCGCCCUUUGGUAUUCCUUAGGGCAUGUCUGUUCGAGCGUCAUUUAAACCCUUCAAGCUCAGCUUGGUGUUGGGUGACUGUCCGCCGCCCCCGGGCGCGGACUCGCCCCAAAUUCAUUGGCGGCCGGUACGUAGGCUUCGAGCGCAGCAGAAACGCGAACUCGGGCCCGCGGUAUCGGCUCCCAGAAGCCAUCUCUUUUAUUUUGACCUCGGAUCAGGUAGGGAUACCCGCUGAACUUAAGCAUAUCAAUAGCGGAGGA
rnacentral:misc_RNA from 1 species